rnacentral:rRNA from 2 species
UGGGGAAUUUUGCACAAUGGGCGCAAGCCUGAUGCAGCGACGCCGCGUGAGGGAUGAAGGCCUUCGGGUUGUAAACCUUUUUCGCUCAUGGUCAAGCCGCAGCUUUGGGUUGUGGUGAGGGUAGUGGGUAAAGAAGCGCCGGCUAACUACGUGCCAGCAGCCGCGGUAAUACGUAGGGCGCGAGCGUUGUCCGGAAUUAUUGGGCGUAAAGGGCUUGUAGGCGGUUGGCCGCGUCUGCCGUGAAAUCCUCUGGCUUAACUGGGGGCGUGCGGUGGGUACGGGUUGACUUGAGUGCGGUAGGGGAGACUGGAAUUCCUGGUGUGGCGGUGGAAUGCGCAGAUAUCAGGAGGAACACCGGUGGCGAAGGCGGGUCUCUGGGCCGUUACUGACGCUGAGGAGCGAAAGCGUGGGGAGCGAACAGG